rnacentral:rRNA from 1 species
AAUAGAUACCCGGGUAGUCCACGCCGUAAACGAUGAGUGCUAAGUGUUAGAGGGUUUCCGCCCUUUAGUGCUGCAGCUAACGCAUUAAGCACUCCGCCUGGGGAGUACGGUCGCAAGACUGAAACUACAAAGGAAUUGACGGGGGCCCGCACAAGCGGUGGAGCAUGUGGUUUAAUUCGAAGCAACGCGAAGAACCUUACCAGGUCUUGACAUCCCACUGACCGGUAUAGAGAUAUACCUUUCCCUUCGGGGACAGUGGUGACAGGUGGUGCAUGGUUGUCGUCAGCUCGUAUCGUGAGAUGUUGGGUUAAGUCCCGCAACGAGCGCAACCCUUGAUCUUAGUUGCCAGCAUUUAGUUGGGCACUCUAAGGUGACUGCCGGUGACAAACCGGAGGAAGGUGGGGAUGGACGUCGAAAUCAUCAUGCCCCUUAUGACCUGGGCUACACACGUGCUACAAUGGAUGGUACAAAGGGCUGCAAGACUGCGAAGUCAAGCCAAUCCCAUAAAACCAUUCNCAGUUCGGAUUGCAGG